GACGAACGCUGUUUGCGUGCUUAACACAUGCAAGUCGAACGGAAAGGCCCUGCUUUUGUGGGGUGCUCGAGUGGCGAACGGGUGAGUAACACGUGAGUAACCUGCCCUUGACUUUGGGAUAACUUCAGGAAACUGGGGCUAAUACCGGAUAGGAGCUCCUGCUGCAUGGUGGGGGUUGGAAAGUUUCGGCGGUUGGGGAUGGACUCGCGGCUUAUCAGCUUGUUGGUGGGGUAGUGGCUUACCAAGGCUUUGACGGGUAGCCGGCCUGAGAGGGUGACCGGCCACAUUGGGACUGAGAUACGGCCCAGACUCCUACGGGAGGCAGCAGUGGGGAAUAUUGCACAAUGGGCGGAAGCCUGAUGCAGCAACGCCGCGUGCGGGAUGACGGCCUUCGGGUUGUAAACCGCUUUCGCCUGUGACGAAGCGUGAGUGACGGUAAUGGGUAAAGAAGCACCGGCUAACUACGUGCCAGCAGCCGCGGUGAUACGUAGGGUGCGAGCGUUGUCCGGAUUUAUUGGGCGUAAAGGGCUCGUAGGUGGUUGAUCGCGUCGGAAGUGUAAUCUUGGGGCUUAACCCUGAGCGUGCUUUCGAUACGGGUUGACUUGAGGAAGGUAGGGGAGAAUGGAAUUCCUGGUGGAGCGGUGGAAUGCGCAGAUAUCAGGAGGAACACCAGUGGCGAAGGCGGUUCUCUGGGCCUUUCCUGACGCUGAGGAGCGAAAGCGUGGGGAGCGAACAGGCUUAGAUACCCUGGUAGUCCACGCUGUAAACGGUGGGUACUAGGUGUGGGGUCCAUUCCACGGGUUCCGUGCCGUAGCUAACGCUUUAAGUACCCCGCCUGGGGAGUACGGCCGCAAGGCUAAAACUCAAAGGAAUUGACGGGGCCCCGCACAAGCGGCGGAGCAUGCGGAUUAAUUCGAUGCAACGCGUAGAACCUUACCUGGGUUUGACAUGGAUCGGGAGUGCUCAGAGAUGGGUGUGCCUCUUUUGGGGUCGGUUCACAGGUGGUGCAUGCCUGUCGUCAGCUCGUGUCGUGAGAUGUUGGGUUAAGUCCCGCAACGAGCGCAACCCUUGUUCACUGUUGCCAGCACGUUAUGGUGGGGACUCAGUGGAGACCGCCGGGGUCAACUCGGAGGAAGGUGGGGAUGACGUCAAGUCAUCAUGCCCCUUAUGUCCAGGGCUUCACGCAUGCUACAAUGGCUGGUACAGAGAGUGGCGAGCCUGUGAGGGUGAGCGAAUCUCGGAAAGCCGGUCUCAGUUCGGAUUGGGGUCUGCAACUCGACCUCAUGAAGUCGGAGUCGCUAGUAAUCGCAGAUCAGCAACGCUGCGGUGAAUACGUUCCCGGAGCU
rnacentral:rRNA from 1 species